CCCUUAGAUGUUCUGGGCCGCACGCGUGCUACACUGAGUGGAUCAGCGGGUCAGGUUGCGCGAAAGCGUUUCCUAAUCUUUAAAUCCGCUCGUGAUGGUGAUUGACGGUUGCAAUUUUCUGUCAUGAACGAGGAAUACCUUGUAAGCGCGGGUCAUCAUCCCGCGCUGAAUACGUCCCUGCCCUUUGUACACACCGCCCGUCGCUCCUACCGAUUGAGUGGUCCGGUGAGGCUUUGGGAUCUGAGCGGAAAGAGCGUUUCGCUGUUUCUGCUCGGAAAACUCAGUCGAACCUUAUCAUUUAGAGGAAGGAGAAGUCGUAACA
rnacentral:rRNA from 1 species